CUACAGAGUACCUGCUUACUGCUCUAAAAUUUUACUGUAUACAAGUUCUGGAGAAGCUGAGUGAGGCCAUGUCUGUUACCAGGAGACAUGAGACUCACAGCAGAUCUCUCUGGCUUAACAUGGGAGACGGCGCAAGAUUCCUCCUCCUACCUUGUCUGAAGGAGGGUGGCAAGAGCAGAUUAAAGCAUCUGUGAGGCAGCCUUCUAAAGUUUCUCAAGAAGUGGUAGCCAGUGUGAAAAUGCAUCACCUCACCUUGCUUCAUAUUUCCCUUCUCUCAGUUCCCUUUUUUCCUCACCUUUGCUGCCCUCUAUUUGUAUGUCCCAAAUAAAGCCUUAAUAUUUCCUUUUUUGCCUCAAGCUCUGAUUUUUAGAGAAUCUAGGCUAAGAAACUCACCAAGGUCUUAAGGUAAAAGGCCCAGUAAACACACUGUUAUUUUGCUCAAUCACUGAAGGCUCUAGCUAUUCAAAACUCUUUUCUCUUUCUCCUUCUUCCACAUGCACAUCCACUAAACCCCGGACCCCAAAUUGACAGACCAUUCCCAAAACAAUAACUUCUGGGUAUGUGCUGGCCCUCACUGGUGGCUUUUCAGUGUUGAGUUCCAUAGUUCUAAAUUCUUGACCUCAGA
rnacentral:lncRNA from 1 species